rnacentral:RNase_P_RNA from 1 species
CGGCGUAGCAAUACGCGGAGGAAAGUCCGGGCUCCACAGGGCAGAGUGCCAGGUAACGCCUGGGCGGCGUGAGCCGACGGAAAGUGCAACAGAAAAUAAACCGCCGAACGGCAUCGCAAGGUGUGCGUGGUAAGGGCGAAACGGUGCGGUAAGAGCGCACCGCAUCCGUGGUACCCCGCGCAUCAGGAU